rnacentral:lncRNA from 1 species
GCUGAUUCUUCUGCUGGCCCGAGCGUGUGAGACCUCUUGUGGUCGGCUGCUGGCUCUUCCACAGGACCGAUACAACAUUCACCCAUCUGUAUAAGCCUAGGACUUCUCCUAGGAGUGUCGGUAUGGUAGUUCUUCUUACGAUAUUUCCUUUUCACACUCACUGACUUGGCGGUUGCUUCCAAAGCAUGUCCGGACUCAGUAGUCUCUUGCCUUCCUUCAGUUGCUGCAACAGACACAGCAUGCACAUCUUGAGUUCCUUCACUAGCUGCAAGGAGAGGUGCUUCCUCCAUAAUCAUGGACGAUGCGGUAGCUUCCAAAGCAUGUACGGGCUCAGAAGCCUCUUGCCUUCCUUCACUAGCUGCAACAAACAUAGCCUGCCUAUCUUGACUUCCUUCACUGGCUGCAACAAACACGGCCUGCUCAUUCUGACUUCCUUCACCAGCUGCAACAAACACGGCCUGCACCCCUCGGCUUCCUUCACCAGCUAGGACAAACACAUCCUGCUUAUCAAGCGACGCUGCCCGGUGCUGAGUUGCAAUUAGAACCUCCUGAACAGUCUCGUCAUCGCUGNNNNNNNNNNGUGGGACCCCAUAGUCAGUCCGACGUGGCGGGUAUGCCCGGGAGCCCCCACAUUCGCACCAUAUUUGGGUUGGAUAUGCGGGUGUCGGUCAGCCCGCGCGUUUGAGGCCCGUUUUAGGCGUCUGCCUGGGUCAAAAUUUCGUGAUCGGGCAGUGACCGGACGGCCCGCUCGGAUGGGAUGUAUGAGGCGGGUUUGAGAGUUCCGGGUUUAGAUGCUCUAAGCCGAUUGAGAUUUUUCCUGUAUAAAAGCCGGUUAUGUGUUAAACUUUUUUAUAUAUAAAUGGCAAGGCCCCAAAUGUUAUACAAGAGUGUAUGUUACAGUCAAAAGUUUGUAGGGAGUUAAUCCUGCAUUAAUUGUUAGCUUUUCUAAUGGAGCAAAUGAUUUUUUUUUUAAUUUCCAAAUCUCUCUCUCUAUUGCCCAUCUAUAGUUUGUUAAAUACUAGAACAUCAUCUUUCAAAAAAAGAAAGGGUUAUGCGCCGUCGCAAACUAUUGCUUCCUAUCUUCCCGUUUUUGUCAGAUGCAUAUCUUCAAGCUGGCCGUGGCAUGUCUGCAAUUUUCUCUCCAUAUCUAGCAUUAGAUCGACAAAUAAUUUGAAAUUCAAGUCUUUGAAAAAUAAAACGGAGUAAAAAAAAUGUCAUGCCCCAAAAGGUUGUAUUCUGAACCGCAGCAAGAACACUUUGUCAUGCAUAACAUUACCAGCUGUGCAGGUCAGCAAGAACGCCUGUAAAUUCAUCUGCGGACAGAACUAAACUAUCGCUUCAGCCUUCAUCUACCAAAGCCACACACCUUUUUUGCAAUAUUGAUAAUCAAAAUGCAGUUGCUCUAACAAAUCUGGAUCUAUUGUUGGUUUGGUUACAUCUCAGCUUGGAGCCAGGAUUAACUCCUACAAAUUUUUCUUAAGCUCCCAGAAAACAGCAGCUGCGCGCCAUUUCCAAGCUCACCAAAAUACCACCUAAUUAAUGAUGUGCUUGACGAAACAAGUCCAAAAAUCACCCACAGUUUACAUCCUAGACGAAUUUGAGAUGGCGCAACGCGAGCUCAGAUCGAUCCCACUACAGAUGCAAUAAGAGUGGUUACACAUGAGAGGAACUACAGCAACAAGAGUUAGAAAGAUUCAGUCAACUAGAGUUAGUUUGCAGGGUCGGUAGUUCUUCCUACGACAUUUCACCUUCCCGGUCACCAGCUUUGCAUCACCACCUUGUGAGGACAGAGCCUUCGGACUGCUGGAAGUCAGGCCUGCAGCAGGAUCACUGUUAGCAUCUUUCUGGCAAGGCCACUGUUAACUCCAAAUGCUAGGAAUUUGUCGCAACACUUGCAUUGAUAUGGAUUUUUUGCAUGAUAAAAAACACAACUGUAAUGACAAGAAUGGCGCUGAUGUUGGAGGGUGAGGACAAUUCGGCGAUUCAGCAUGUUGGAGAGCAAGGACAACCGUACCAAGAGGUGGUUUUUCCCUAACCAAGGACAAGAUAUGGUAGUUCCUCUCAAUAUGUUUCGCCUUCGCUCUCACCAGCUUUGCAUCGCCAUCUUCAGAAGUCACAGCUUUAGGACUGGUGGAAAUCGGGCCUGCAGCAGGUCACUGUUAACAUUUUUCUAGGAAGGCCAAUGUUAACUUCAAAUACCAGGAAUUUGUUGCAAUGUUUGCUUGAUAUGGAACGUUUGCAUGAUAAAGACACAACUGUAAUGACAAAGGGAUGUAGAAGAAAUUACUGGGGAAUGUCGCUGAUGUUGGAGAGCGAAGACAAUUCGUUGAUCCAGCAUGUGGCAGAGCGAGGACAACCGUUUCAGCUGAGUUGAUAAAGGCAGCUGAUUCUUCUGCUGGCCUGAGCGUGCGAGACCUCUUGUGGUCGGCUGUUGGCUCUUCCACAGGACUGGUAAAACAUUCACCCAUCUGUAUAAGCCUAGGACUUCUCCUAGGAGUGUCGGUAUGGUAGUUCUUAUGACAUUUUGCAUUCACACUCACUGACUUUGCGUCGCCACCUUCAGAAGUCUGAGCUUUCGGAGUGGUGGAAGUCAGGCCUACAACAGGUCAACGUUAACAUUUUUCAGGAAGGCCACUGCUAAACUUCUCAAAUACUAGAAAUUUGUUGCAGUGUUUGCUUGAUAUGGAUUGUUUGCAUGAUAAACACACAACUGUAGUGACAAAGGGGUAGAGAAGAACUUACUGAGGAGUGUCGUUGAUGUUGGAGAGCAAAAACAACUCGUUGAUCCAACAUGUGUCAUAGUGAGGACAGCCGUUUCAGCUGGGUCGGUAGAGGCAGCUGAUUCUUCUGCUGGCCCGAGCGUGUGAGACCUCUUGUGGUCGGCUGCUGGCUCUUCCACAGGACCGAUACAACAUUCACCCAUCUGUAUAAGCCUAGGACUUCUCCUAGGAGUGUCGGUAUGGUAGUUCUUCUUACGAUAUUUCCUUUUCACACUCACUGACUUGGCGGUUGCUUCCAAAGCAUGUCCGGACUCAGUAGUCUCUUGCCUUCCUUCAGUUGCUGCAACAGACACAGCAUGCACAUCUUGAGUUCCUUCACUAGCUGCAAGGAGAGGUGCUUCCUCCAUAAUCAUGGACGAUGCGGUAGCUUCCAAAGCAUGUACGGGCUCAGAAGCCUCUUGCCUUCCUUCACUAGCUGCAACAAACAUAGCCUGCCUAUCUUGACUUCCUUCACUGGCUGCAACAAACACGGCCUGCUCAUUCUGACUUCCUUCACCAGCUGCA